rnacentral:tRNA from 1 species
GCGGGUGUCGUAUAAUGGCCAUUACCUGGGCUUCCCAAGCCCAUGACGUGGGUUCGAUUCCCAUCACCCGCU